AAUUUUGGACAAUGGGGGCAACCCUGAUCCAGCAAUGCCGCGUGUGUGAAGAAGGCCUUCGGGUUGUAAAGCACUUUUGUCCGGAAAGAAAUCUUCUGCCCUAAUACGGCGGGAGGAUGACGGUACCGGAAGAAUAAGCACCGGCUAACUACGUGCCAGCAGCCGCGGUAAUACGUAGGGUGCGAGCGUUAAUCGGAAUUACUGGGCGUAAAGCGUGCGCAGGCGGUGAUGCAAGACCGAUGUGAAAGCCCCGGGCUCAACCUGGGAACUGCAUUGGUGACUGCAUCGCUGGAGUAUGGCAGAGGGGGGUGGAAUUCCACGUGUAGCAGUGAAAUGCGUAGAGAUGUGGAGGAACACCGAUGGCGAAGGCAGCCCCCUGGGCCAAUACUGACGCUCAUGCACGAAAGCGUGGGGAGCAAACAGGAUUAGAUACCCUGGUAGUCCACGCCCUAAACGAUGUCAACUGGUUGUCGGGCCUUCAUUGGCUUGGUAACGAAGCUAACGCGUGAAGUUGACCGCCUGGGGAGUACGGUCGCAAGAUUAAAACUCAAAGGAAUUGACGGGGACCCGCACAAGCGGUGGAUGAUGUGGAUUAAUUCGAUGCAACGCGAAAAACCUUACCUACCCUUGACAUGUACGGAAUUUCACUGAGAGGUGGAAGUGCCCGAAAGGGAGCCGUAACACAGGUGCUGCA
rnacentral:rRNA from 1 species